rnacentral:rRNA from 1 species
AACGAACGCUGGCGGCAUGCCUAACACAUGCAAGUCGAACGAGACCUUCGGGUCUAGUGGCGCACGGGUGCGUAACGCGUGGGAACCUGCCCUUAGGUUCGGAAUAACUCCCCGAAAGGGGUGCUAAUACCGGAUAAUGUCUUCGGACCAAAGAUUUAUCGCCUUUGGAUGGGCCCGCGUUGGAUUAGCUAGUUGGUAGGGUAAAAGCCUACCAAGGCGACGAUCCAUAGCUGGUCUGAGAGGAUGAUCAGCCACACUGGGACUGAGACACGGCCCAGACUCCUACGGGAGGCUGCAGGGGGGAAUAUUGGACAAUGGGCGAGAGCCAGAUCCAGCAAUGCCGCGUGAGUGAUGAAGGCCUUAGGGUUGUAAAGCUCUUUUAACCGGGAUGAUAAUGACAGUACCGGGAGAAUAAGCUCCGGCUAACUCCGUG